rnacentral:rRNA from 1 species
AGCGAACGCUGGCGGCAGGCUUAACACAUGCAAGUCGAGCGGGCACUUCGGUGUCAGCGGCAGACGGGUGAGUAACACGUGGGAACGUACCCUUUGGUUCGGAAUAACGCUGGGAAACUAGCGCUAAUACCGGAUACGCCCUUUUGGGGAAAGGCUUGCUGCCGAAGGAUCGGCCCGCGUCUGAUUAGCUAGUUGGUGGGGUAAUGGCCUACCAAGGCGACGAUCAGUAGCUGGUCUGAGAGGAUGAUCAGCCACACUGGGACUGAGACACGGCCCAGACCCCUACCGGAGGCAGCAGUGGGGAAUAUUGGACAAUGGGCGCAAGCCUGAUCCAGCCAUGGCGCGUGAGUGAUGAAGGCCUUAGGGUUGUAAAGCUCUUUUGUCCGGGACGAUAAUGACGGUACCGGAAGAAUAAGCCCCGGCUAACUUCGUG